rnacentral:rRNA from 1 species
GAUGAACGCUGGCGGCGUGCCUAAUACAUGCAAGUCGAGCGAACAGACGAGGAGCUUGCUCCUCUGACGUUAGCGGCGGACGGGUGAGUAACACGUGGAUAACCUACCUAUAAGACUGGGAUAACUUCGGGAAACCGGAGCUAAUACCGGAUAAUAUAUUGAACCGCAUGGUUCAAUAGUGAAAGACGGUUUUGCUGUCACUUAUAGAUGGAUCCGCGCCGCAUUAGCUAGUUGGUAAGGUAACGGCUUACCAAGGCAACGAUGCGUAGCCGACCUGAGAGGGUGAUCGGCCACACUGGAGCUGAGACACGGUCCAGACUCCUACGGGAGGCAGCAGUAGGGAAUCUUCCGCAAUGGGCGAAAGCUUGACGGAGCAACGCCGCGUGAGUGAUGAAGGUCUUCGGAUCGUAAAACUCUGUUAUUAGGGAAGAACAAAUGUGUAAGUAACUAUGCACGUCUUGACGGUACCUAAGCAGAAAGCCACGGCUAACUACGU